CUUAAGGAAGAAUGAAAACUUCUGCUCAUACUUCUCAUGAAUGCUUUUAUUUUCAAGGUCAACCAAAUGUUUUUUCAGGAAAGACUAAUGCACUUUUCUUCAAGCGAUACACCGUAAAAUGUUUCUCCAAGAUUAUCCUGUCUCUGAGCUGAGGACAACCGGCUCUCGGUACACACGAAGGGGAGAAGUUGACUCAUACAGAUGUGCAUGGACACAGCCUGUGCUGGAUCGUGGAGGCUGUUGUGGAAAUCACAGUGAAGGCUGCUUCCCUUUGAGCUGGCUUCAUUCAAGUGACAGCAAAGAUGGACAUCAGUAGAUACAGAUUUAUAUUCUAACA